AAACAAAAUGCAUAAAUUCACUACACAAUUGAGGUUCUUAUUUGUGUUUUAUUUCAUUGUAAAAGGAGUUAAUUUCCAAACAGGGUUGUAUAAAUAAAUCUUAUCUUACCUUUGCAUUCAAUUUUGUACGGUAAUUUUUCAUACUUAAAAUGUAAAUAGCUAUAUAUAUAUACCCCCUCUAAAUGAAAAAUGGCCUAAUUUAACAUAUGUGCUAAAAAUAUUAACAUAAAUAAUUCGUUUGUUAGAUAACAAGAUAUUCAUAGCAAUAAGGUUUCUUGGAAUGGCCUAUAAUGCACGCAAAUACUAGUUUACGCACUUUUCGGGUAGUACGCCUGGAAUUUCAAAAUGGCGUUCAAACGGCGGUUGGGUCGUUGAAGGCUCAGCUGGUCAGUAUCGUCGGUGCCGCCAACGCGACAACAUGUACCACUGAUUGCCGACAUCAGCAACAUUGCUCCAGGUUGUCCAUUUCUGCAGUUGUGAUGUCCUACCUUCAAAACCCACAGCCAAUGACACCUCCAUGGUCCAAUAUAUAAACAGUUCUGUAUUAUCGAUUGUUUUUGGUUGAAUGGAAAUGUAUAAUUGCCUCACCAUACUUGUAUUAAAAUUGUACUGCUGAAUGAGUGACAAUUUUAGUUUUAAUAAACUAGCUAAUGGUGCCAGGUUUGUAUUAUGAUGUGCAAUAUGGAACAGUGCCAACAUUUGAUGAUGUGCAUGAGUUACAAAAUGGCUUGGUUUGUUAAUCUUUUAAUUUGUGUAGCCUGCACUAUAUAAUUCUUGUGUUAUACUUCCCAUCCAAAAGUUUCUUGUAAGCAGCUUGUCUUUUUUUUUCUUUAACAAAUGGACAAAUUUGUAUUGUCCCAUAAUAUCAUGUCAUUCAUGCCAGUGUAAAAGGCAAUAGCAUGAACCUCAAAGCUUGAAAUAUCCUGGAAUAUGAAGUACCAUACGAGUUGAUCCUCGAGUGACAACCACAUUAGUACAGUAGAUAGCCUCCAUAUUAGACAUAAAAGGAAGACUUGAUCACCACGUUAGAAAUAGAAGAGUGAAAGGGAAUUGGGAGUGGAAUGGUAGGCAGUCAGUAUGGGGGAAGGGAGACUUUUGGAGUACAGUACAGUACUGUCCAUUCAGUAGAGCCAGGCUGUCACCUGAUCGGAUGACAGGCAAAGUUAUCAGUCACUAGCACUGAUUUUAUAGUUUUCUUCGAGGUGACAUCAACUGCAUAAUAUCUUUUUGAUCAUGAAAUUACAUUAACUCCAACCAGUUACUGCUGGCUAAUAAUUCUUAGACAUAAAGGAAAGAGGAGAAAUCAGAAGAGCAUGUUAAGAUAGGGCUACCUGAAAAGGUUUCAGUUGUGGUUACUCCAUCAGAGGGGUGUUCAUGGGGAUAAAGGCAGAUUCUACAGUAAAUUGUUAAUUCCUCUUUUAGGACUGCCUCCUCUUCCAUUUUGCUUAGUUAUGCAAAGUUGUUGUUUUAUGGUUACAAAGGAAACAUAUCAUUCCUUAAUUUCUUAUUUUGACUGUAUCAGAAUUUAGAAUUUCUAAAAUAUAGUUACAGGUUGUAAGUACAGUAUGUAUAACAGUUUAUACAGUACUAAGUGUAUAAAAUAUAUAUUAAUGCAGGCCAUAUGUAUUAUUGUUAAAUAUGUACUUUUGUAUUUCAUAGUAAACCUUUUACCAUAAUAUAUAAUUAUCUUCUCCUUUCAAUAGUGCAUUUGUCAUGUUGAAUUAUAUGGUAUAUCAGGAUUUUAUCGGUACUACCUUGUUGACUGCGUGUUCCUCCCAUUACUAUACUGUAUACAGUAUCUCUCCUUCCCAUUACAGUAUUACGCUGAGAUGUAUCAGUAAGGUGGUUGGGCUCACUGGCUCAAGCAAAGAAUAUUCACUAUACAAUACUAUAUUGAAUAUAAAUUCAGUGGAUUUUGUACUACAUGGGAACCUGGUCCAAGAUAGGGAUUUUAAUCUAGCCAGUGACCUGUACAAUGAAUUUGGCAUCUAGAUAAUGCAGAAUUCCUCCAAGACUGAUAAUUUUAAAUUAAUAUUACUAAAAAAUUCAAACAGUGCUUUUUCCAUGGGAUUUCUGCAUCAAAUUAUGCACAAAUGUAUGUCCUAUCAUGUGCACAAAUAAAGGGUGAAUGCUGUGGAUCUUGUUGUCCAUUAAAAUCUGUACAAUAAAGCUUUCAGUCACAUGCCAUCCCUAAGGUG